AGGAACGGGGCGUCGCGGCCUCUGGUCUACCGGCUGUCCGGCAGGGCACAGCCGGGCAGCUACGCCGUGGGGGGUAACCGCUGAAAGCAUCUAAGCGGGAACCCCUCCCCGAAAAGAGGCGGCCGUUCGCCGGGGGAUUACCCCGGCGACGAGGGCCCCCGUAGAAGACGGGGUUGAUGGGGCGGGGGUGUAUGCCUGCCGC
rnacentral:rRNA from 1 species